AGUGAACGCUGGCGGUAGGCCUAACACAUGCAAGUCGAACGGCAGCACAGUAAGAGCUUGCUCUUACGGGUGGCGAGUGGCGGACGGGUGAGGAAUACAUCGGAAUCUACUUUUUCGUGGGGGAUAACGUAGGGAAACUUACGCUAAUACCGCAUACGACCUACGGGUGAAAGCAGGGGAUCUUCGGACCUUGCGCGAUUGAAUGAGCCGAUGUCGGAUUAGCUAGUUGGCGGGGUAAAGGCCCACCAAGGCGACGAUCCGUAGCUGGUCUGAGAGGAUGAUAGGCCACACUGGAACUGGGACACGGUCCAGACUCCUACGGGAGGCAGCAGUGGGGAAUAUUGGACAAUGGGCGCAAGCCUGAUCCAGCCAUACCGCGUGGGUGAAGAAGGCCUUCGGGUUGUAAAGCCCUUUUGUUGGGAAAGAAAAGCAGCAGGUUAAUACCCCGCUGUUCUGACGGUACCCAAAGAAUAAGCACCGGCUAACUUCGUG
rnacentral:rRNA from 1 species